GACAGAGGGGGCAAGCGUUGCUCGGAAUCACUGGGCGUAAAGGGCGCGUAGGCGGGAUGGCAAGUCGGUCGUGAAAUCCUUCGGCUCAACCGAAGAACGUCGGCCGAUACUGCCGUUCUUGAGGGAUGCAGAGGAGAUUGGAAUUCCCGGUGUAGCGGUGAAAUGUGUAGAGAUCGGGAGGAACACCGGUGGCGAAGGCGGGUCUCUGGGCAUCUCCUGACGCUGAGGCGCGAAAGCGUGGGGAGCGAACAGG
rnacentral:rRNA from 1 species